rnacentral:lncRNA from 1 species
GCACCCUGCAGCUCAUGAGAACCAGGAGGACCUUUGGGUGCCCAUGGUGCCAUCCUGCACCCCUAGCUGCUCAACGGUUCCCAUGGGGCACCCUGCAGCUCAUGAGAACCAAGAGGACCUUUGGGUGCCCAUGGUGCCAUCCUGCACCCCUUGGUGCUCAACAGUGCCCCCAGGUGUCCUUGGGGGCAUCCUGCAGCUCAUGGGAACCAAGAGCACCUUUGGGUGCCCAUGGGGCAUCCUGCGGUAACCAAGAGCACCUUUGGGUUCCCAUGGUGGCAUCCCAUGGCUCAAGGUGUCCUUGGUUGCCCAAGGGGCAUCCUGCACCCCUUGGUGCUCAAAGGUGCCCACGGUGCCAUGCUGCACCACAUGGUGCCCAACGGUCCUGCACCCCAGGGUGCUCAACAUGCCCUUGGGGCAUCCUGCAGCCUAGGACGCCCACCGGCACCCAUGGGUGACCCCAGGGUGCCCUUGGGGCAUCCUGCACCCCACGGCGUGACCCCUGCACCCCACCGCGUCCUCCUGCGUCCCAGAGCACCCCCGCCAGCUCUGCACCCCAGGGUGCCCCAUCCUUUCUGUGCCUUCGCCCAGCGCCGCGGGGGACACCCUGGGGACACCCUGGUGACACCCGUCCCGCCACCCGGCCCCCUCCCGCCCCUGUAAAUAGAAUAAAGCAGCUCAGAGGGUGCCAGCGUCCCCGUCACCUCUGUCACCCCGGGUGCUGCGUCCCCGUCGCCCCGCGUCGCCUCUGUCCCCCCGUGUCCCGGUCACUGCAGGGCGCCGUGUCCCCUCUGUCAUCCCGGGUGACACAUCCCCAUCACUGCAGUGUCCCCUCUGCCACCCCGUUUCCACCCCUGUCACCCCAGGGUGACACCUGCUCCCCCCUGCGCCCGGGGUCCCCCUGCCACAGUGUCCCCCUCCCUGGGGGUCCCUGCCAGGGUGCCACAGCCCCUGUCCCCGUCCCUGUCCCCUUUGCGCCAUCCCCCAGACCCUUGCCUUCAUCCUCAUUCCCUUUGUCCCUGUCCCUCAGCCCCAUCCUGUCCCCAGCUCUGUCCCCACUGGCCUUCUCCUGUCCCUCAGCCCCAUCCUUGUCACCUCCAUCCUCAUCUGGUCCCCAAGCCCCAUCCUGUCCCCACUGUCCUGCUCAUGUCCCUCAUCCCCAUCCUUGUCACCUCCAUCCUCAUCCGGUCCUCAAGCCCCAUAUUGGCCCCAGCCCCUCUAUCCUUGCCCUGUCCCUCAGCUCCAUCCCCUUCCUUGUUACCACCACCCUCACUCUGUCCCCAUCCCUGUCCCCUCCAUCCUCAUCUGGUCCCACUGGCCCAUCCCUGUCCCCAGCCCUGUCCUCUCCAUCCCUGUCCUGUCCCCAGCCCCAUCCCUGUCCCCUCCAUCCCUGUCCUGUCCCCAGCCCCAUCCCCUCUGUCCUUGCCCUGUCCCCAGGCAUCCCGCGCACCAUCACUCGCUGCCUCGUCCCCCAACCCCGUCCCCUCCAUCCCUGUCCCGUCCCUCAAACCCAUCCGCUGCCCCUCGCCCCGCAGCUGUCCCCAUGCUGUCCCCAAGCUCCCAGCGCCGUCCCCUCCGUCCCCAGCGCAGCCACACAGGGGACACGGUGUACAAAAACACCCCUCUUUAUUGACGAGGGGCCCCGAAAAGGAGGCUCCCGCCGCAGCGACGCGGCCCCGGGUGGGGGCCGGAGCUCCCGGCGACGCUGCAAGGAAGGGCAGAGCCGUGAGCGCGGGGACGUCCCCGUCCCCCUGUCCCCCCCCCGUCCCCGGUGUGCCCCCCCCCAAAAGCUCACCUCCGCCGGCGGCCCCGGGACGCCCCGCGGGCUCCUCUCCCUGGAGCGGGCGGCCGGUGGCUCCUACAAAAAGCGAAGGGGGCAGGAGUUAGCGAGGCGGCGCGGGGUUGUGGGGGGGGGGACCGGUGUCCCCCCCCCGCCCCGGGGGGAAUCCGGCGGAGCCCGUGAAGGGCUCCCGACUCGGCAGCGGGAAAACACGGCCUCGGUCUGAUCUAGAGCUAGUCUAGGCUGCCGGUAACUCGGCAGCGACUUUACCCCAGACUAAACUUAGACGGCACGUCUUUUUUUAAUAAAAAAAAAAGACACAUUUAUUCA